rnacentral:rRNA from 1 species
UACAGAGGGUGCGAGCGUUAAUCGGAUUUACUGGGCGUAAAGGGCGCGUAGGCGGCCUUCUAAGUCGAACGUGAAAUCCCCGGGCUCAACCCGGGAACUGCGUCCGAGACUGGAAGGCUCGAAUCCGGGAGAGGGCAGUGGAAUUCCCGGUGUAGCGGUGAAAUGCGCAGAUAUCAGGAGGAACACCGGUGGCGAAGGCGGGGUCUCUGGGCCGAUACUGACGCUGAGGAGCGAAAGCGUGGGGGAGCGAACAGG